AACGUAAACAACCUGCCUUCAGGAUGGGGACAACAGACGGAAACGACUGCUAAUACCGAAUACGUUCCACGGGCCGCAUGACCUGUGGAAGAAAGGGUAGCCUCUACCUGUAAGCUAUCGCCUGAAGAGGGGUUUGCGUCUGAUUAGGCAGUUGGUGGGGUAACGGCUCACCAAACCAACGAUCAGUAGCCGGUCUGAGAGGAUGAACGGCCACACUGGAACUGAGACACGGUCCAG
rnacentral:rRNA from 1 species